rnacentral:RNase_P_RNA from 1 species
AAGGUGCGGUAAGAGCGCACCAGUUCCUCGGGUGACCGGGGAAGCUUGGUAAACCCCACCUGGAGCAAGACCAAAUAGUGGAGCGUUUGAGGGCUGCCCGUCCGAGCUCCUGGGUAGGUCGCUUGAGGUAUCGGGUAACCGAUACCCUAGAUGAAUGAUCAUUGUUCCAUACAAGGGUAACCUGUAUGGAAAACAGAACUCGGCUUAUUGCCUGCUCUGACCG